rnacentral:lncRNA from 1 species
UUUAUUCUGGUUCAAUUUUGUUUGGUUCUUUUGUCUGGUGGUUCUUUUCUUUGGAGGUUCCUCCUCUAGCAGUUGGUUAUGUUAUUAGUUUAUUUGGUUCAAUAUUUUAUUUUCGAGGUUAAUUUGUAACAAGUUUAACAUUUAUCAAAUUUUAAAUUGAAAAUGGGUGUUAAAGUUUUAGAUUUAUAUUGUUUUCGUUUCUUAUUUCCCAAACUCUC